rnacentral:misc_RNA from 1 species
CCAAUAGCGUAUAUUAAAGUUGUUGCAGUUAAAAAGCUCGUAGUUGAAUUUCGGGAUUGACGUGACGGUCAUGCCUUAAGGGGUAUGAACUGUUGCUGGUGAUUUCUCACCUUCUGGAGAAACUUGAUGUCCUUUAUUGGGUGUCUUGCGGAUCCAGGACCUUUACCUUGAAAAAAUUAGAGUGUUUAAAGCAGGCAUUUUUGCUCGAAUACAUUAGCAUGGAAUAAUAGAAUAGGACGGCAUGGUUCUAUUUUGUUGGUUUCUAGGAUCACCGUAAUGAUUAAUAGGGAUAGUUGGGGGCAUUAGUAUUCAAUUGUCAGAGGUGAAAUUCUUGGAUUUAUUGAAGACUAACUACUGCGAAAGCAUUUGCCAAGGAUGUUUUCAUUAAUCAAGAACGAAAGUUAGGGGAUCGAAGACGAUCAGAUACCGUCGUAGUCUUAACCAUAAACUAUGCCGACUAGGAAUCAGACGAUGUUAAUUUUUUAAUGACUCGUUUGGCACCUUACG